rnacentral:rRNA from 1 species
GACGAACGCUGGCGGCGUGCUUAACACAUGCAAGUCGAACGGAAAGGCCCUGCUUUUGUGGGGUGCUCGAGUGGCGAACGGGUGAGUAACACGUGAGUAACCUGCCCUUGACUUUGGGAUAACUUCAGGAAACUGGGGCUAAUACCGGAUAGGAGCUCCUGCUGCAUGGUGGGGGUUGGAAAGUUUCGGCGGUUGGGGAUGGACUCGCGGCUUAUCAGCUUGUUGGUGGGGUAGUGGCUUACCAAGGCUUUGACGGGUAGCCGGCCUGAGAGGGUGACCGGCCACAUUGGGACUGAGAUACGGCCCAGACUCGUACGGGAGGCAGCGGUGGGGAAUAUUGCACAAUGGGCGGACGCCUGAUGCAGCAACGCCGCGUGCGGGAUGACGGCCUUCGGGUUGUAAACCGCUUUCGCCUGUGACGAAGCGUGAGUGACGGUAAUGGGUAAAGAAGCACCGGCUAACUACGUG